UCUCCUCCAUUCCACUUUCUCUUUUCUGUGAUUUCUCAUUUUCAUCUCAAAUCUCCUUCCCUAAACCCUAAUCUCCUUUCUUACCACUUCCAAAUUUCAUGUCGACGGCGCCACUAUCACCAUCACUGUCGUCAACAUGUCUCAUCUUCUGUUUAUGUCUUAUUGUAGUCAACACAACACAAUGUUUCAAUGAUUCACAUUAAGAUUUGUAAAAGAUAUGUUCUUAUUCUUCAGAUCUGGGGUUUUGAAUGGUUUUGUUAUUAUUGUAGUUGAACUUCUGAAAUUGAAGAUGAAAAUGGAAACCAUGUGAUUUUUCAAAUGCUUCAUAGGAUGGAGAAAAGUCACAAAGGAAAAACAUAUUUGUUUAUGUUCUGCCAUGAGAAAAAAAUAAGGCAUAUCGAUUAGAUCUGGAGAAAAUGCAGCAGCGACGAUGGUGCGAACAGGGUAGCAGAGCAUUAAAGGGUGGACCCGUCGAAAAUCUUGAAAGUUUUUCGAAAGCAUGGAGAAGUCUUAGUUAUAGUCUGAAAAUAACUCUUGGUAGCAUGGUUUUGCCACUUGGUUCUUUGACUAUUGGAAUAGCUUGACAUCGACCGUUGUUAUUUAAGGUUUCUAUUUGUUUUAAAAGUGGCAAUGAAGGCUUUGAGAAAACAUUGGUAUAUUGCUUCAAAUGACAAGAUUAUGCAAUGAGAUUGCAGAUUUUUCCAUCCAUGUCUGCAUUGGCCCCAUCAGUUUUGUAAUCCAUAAUAAUUUUCUUUUUGCUUUUUUGGUUCUUUCUUUGUGAUUCCAAUGCUCUUUAAAAUAUCCAUGACAAUAACUUUGCAAACAGGCUUUUCCCAUCUGAAAGCAUUUGCGCUGAGGUAUCAAACAACUGGUAGUUGGAAAUUGUAUUUUGACAAUGGGUUCUUGGAGAAGAUGACACCGGUGAUGAAUCACCUAUGUAAUUGCUUCGUUCCCGAAAAGAGAUCAAUUAGCAAUGUUUCAUUGAUCUCCACAUAAGUAAAGAGAUCAUUGUCUUUCUUUACAAAUCCUUAUGUUGCAGAAAUAAAUAAAUUCCCUCUCGCCGACCUUCUAUUGUAUGUGAGAAUUGCAGUUAUUGCGUAGGUAACCGAAAUUACAGCUCCGUACAAUUAGAAAAGAAUCAAUAUAACAUGUCUCUCUUUCUUACUAUUUUAUUAAAGAACACUAAUCCAUCUACUUUAGUAUGGUACAACAAUUAUUCUGGUGUUACAACUAUGAUCCAUGUUAGUUUAUAUACUUUUGGAAAUCAUUAGUUUCAACAUUGUGAAUCUCUUUUGUUGUGACUGGCCAAUUUGGUAAAGGUUGCUUGCAUUUGUACAUGACAUGAUUAUGCCUUUGAACAAAAAGCUUGAGCUGUUGUUGAUAACAUUUGAGAUGACAGUGAAAUAGGUGAUGAGUUUUGAAACAGUGUCAAGAUGCAAGCUUAUUUUGUAGCAAGUAUGUAAAAAACAAAUAUAUCGUGGCCUAGACCCCGGUCGCUGAACUCUAUUGAAUGAUCUAAUUCGGUAUUAUUUUUGUAAUGUUUAAAUGAACUAAUUUGUGAGCAGGCAUGACAAAACGAUAGCGGUUGAUAUCCUGGUGAAAGAUUUGAAAAUAUUUUCAUCAUCUAAUGCAGAUGUGUACAGGGAAAUAACACAUCUAAUAACUCUUAACAACUUCAGGUAAAUGUUCGCUUUCAAAGAUAAGGUUGUAUUUCCUAAAGUGCAGUCAUUGCGGUUGUGUCAGUUGGUUAAUCAAGGUUUGAAUUGGCAGCAUCAACUGUGCCAGUUUCCGAGGCCAAGUUUGGAGAUAAAAACUUUGUUUACCGACCAUGUUUGUUUGACGCCUCAAUAAAUGAACAUCAGUCGCCUACUAACACGUUGCGUCCUGGUGCAGAUGUUCCAAAUAAUCUCUCUUAGAAAACUAAGAAUGGAUCACAGGUAUUAUAUGACUGCAUUUUUUUAUAAGUAGUUGGUUCUAACAACGGUGCAAUUUCGCUUUGGGAGCUCGGGUUGCGGGAAAGGCUGGUUCGAACAACAUGUUCAAGAAAGUUAUCCUUUCAAUAACUUUGUCUCCUCUCCUGUAAGAACAUCAUCAGCUUUUGGAUUUAAUUCAUCUUCUGAUAUGGCUGCAACAUUGAUGAAUUCAAGAUCUUUAGCCUUUGCGAUACGAAGCCAAUGCUCUAUGGACCGCGGUGUGGCAAGACACCAUAUCAGUGCUUCUGAAUCCAACAGAAGGAUGAACUAUAGAUUUUCUGACUGAAUUGCUCAUGAUGGGGAUGAUCUGAACAAGUUCAAAAAGUCUCCUUGGUGCUUGCAACAUACAGCAAAAGUACACUCAUAAUUAAGCUCUGCUGGGUAACCAACUUGCACCAAUAUCAAGUAAGAGUGAAUUUAUGUUUAUUAAAUGUUGAUGGUUAGGUAGGGCAUGCCUUGCACAUAAAAGUUUGAAGGUGAUAUAAAGUCAUAAAUAUUGACCUGAUGUUGUAUGAACAAACUCUAUCGUAGCACUCAGUGCUACUCAUUGCAUUUUCCUCAUCAUAAUAUGGUAUACACAAUGGUUAACUUGAUUACUAUAGUUAUAUUAUUUGGCAGCCCUGUUGGAGAAAAUAAGAGAAGUGGUGAAGUCUAUAUAGACUCUUUGAUGUUGGUGGCCACAUAAAUGAGAGGAGAAAAUGGAUCCAUAUUUGUUGUUAUAUUCUGUCUUGCAAUUAGGGAGUAUGGUCUGACAUUUGAUUUUGAUUUUAAGAGUAAUGUGGUUAAUAAUAACAAUGAUAAAGUGUGUACUACAAAAAUAUCCAACUCAUAUUUUAAAUACUUUCUGUUUGAUUUUAU